rnacentral:rRNA from 1 species
UACAGAGGGCGCAAGCGUUGUUCGGAUUCACUGGGCGUAAAGGGUGCGUAGGUGGCCAGGUAAGUUCGGUGUGAAAGCUCGGAGCUUAACUCCGAAAUGGCAUUGAAUACUAUCUGGCUAGAGGGUCGGAGGGGAGACUGGAAUUCUCGGUGUAGCAGUGAAAUGCGUAGAUAUCGAGAGGAACACCAGUGGCGAAGGCGAGUCUCUGGACGACUACUGACACUGAGGCACGAAAGCCAGGGGAGCAAACAGG